CGCAAAGUGAAAAAUGAUGUAAAAAUUGUACUACUUUUUGAGAUUAGUCUCAACUCGUCAUAGAGUAUGUGUGGCGGGAAGCCACCACCACACACUCUUCCCACUGGAAACCACUAAAAAUGUAAACAACUCAAGAUGAGUUUUGCAGUUUUUUGCAAAUAAUUCAAAAUUCCCACCGAAACUCGUGAACUUUUUACCCCACCGAGUUCAUCAGUUUCGCCACUAUGUGAUGGAUAAGGAUUUGUUUAACAUGAAAUAUAGCCAAUUCUUAAACUCAUUGGGAAGCCAUGGGUAGGCACUGGUAAAGAGAGUGUUCAAUCCAGAAGCUUUUCAUGCAGGGUAUUGGCAACGAUUCUAAAAUAUCUGGCAAAUGAGGGGUGGAUUUUACUUCAAAGUUUUGACGCAACUAAAAAAACCAAUGACAAGGACACAAUGUUCUUUGAAUGUGCUGAGAAGGAUCCAGAUACUCAAGUUUUUGCAAUCAGUUUCAAUCGGGACGAUAGAAUUAGGCUCGUUGAUCCGCCAGAAUCAUGGCUUUCAGAUCAUUUUAAACAAACAGUUCGGGACGGGUGGUCAGCGGGCGUUCAACACGUACGGUCUUAUUUUGGCUCUACCGAG